rnacentral:rRNA from 1 species
UACGGAAGGCAGCAGUGGGGAAUAUUGCACAAUGGGCGAAAGCCUGAUGCAGCUAUGCCGCGUGUAUGAAGAAGGCCUUAGGGUUGUAAAGUACUUUCAUCGGGGAGGAAAAAACAAAACUAAUAAUUUUAUUUCUUGACGUUACCCGAAAAAGAAGCACCGGCUAACUCCGUGCCAGCAGCCGCGGUAAUACGGAGGGUGCUAGCGUUAAUCAGAAUUACUGGGCGUAAAGAGCACGUAGGUGGUUUUUUUAAGUCAGAUGUGAAAUCCCUGGGCUUAACCUAGGAACUGCAUUUUGAAACUGAAAUACUAGAGUAUCGUAGAGGGAGGUAGAAUUCUAGGUGUAGCGGUGAAAUGCGUAGAUAUCUGGAGGAAUACCUGUGGCGAAAGCGGCCUCCUAAACGAAUACUGACACUGAGGUGCGAAAGCGUUGGGGAGCAAACAGGGAUUUAGAUACC